GAUGAACGCUGGCGGCGUGCCUAAUACAUGCAAGUCGAGCGAACAGAUAAGGGGCUUGCUCCUUUGACGUUAGCGGCGGACGGGUGAGUAACACGUGGGUAACCUACCUAUAAGACUGGAAUAACUCCGGGAAACCGGGGCUAAUGCCGGAUAACAUUUAGAACCGCAUGGUUCUAAAGUGAAAGAUGGUUUUGCUAUCACUUAUAGAUGGACCCGCGCCGUAUUAGCUAGUUGGUAAGGUAACGGCUUACCAAGGCAACGAUACGUAGCCGACCUGAGAGGGUGAUCGGCCACACUGGAACUGAGACACGGUCCAGACUCCUACGGGAGGCAGCAGUAGGGAAUCUUCCGCAAUGGGCGAAAGCCUGACGGAGCAACGCCGCGUGAGUGAUGAAGGUCUUCGGAUCGUAAAACUCUGUUAUUAGGGAAGAACAAAUGUGUAAGUAACUGUGCACGUCUUGACGGUACCUAAUCAGAAAGCCACGGCUAACUACGUG
rnacentral:rRNA from 1 species